rnacentral:rRNA from 1 species
AGAGUUUGAUCCUGGCUCAGGACGAACGCUGGCGGCGUGCCUAAUACAUGCAAGUAGAACGCACAGGAUGCACCGUAGUUUACUACACCGUAUUCUGUGAGUUGCGAACGGGUGAGUAACGCGUAGGUAACCUGCCUGGUAGCGGGGGAUAACUAUUGGAAACGAUAGCUAAUACCGCAUAAGAACAUUUACUGCAUGGUAGAUGUUUAAAAGGUGCAAAUGCAUCACUACCAGAUGGACCUGCGUUGUAUUAGCUAGUAGGUGAGGUAACGGCUCACCUAGGCGACGAUACAUAGCCGACCUGAGAGGGUGAUCGGCCACACUGGGACUGAGACACGGCCCAGACUCCUACGGGAGGCAGUAGUAGGGAAUCUUCGGCAAUGGGGGGAACCCUGACCGAGCAACGCCGCGUGAGUGAAGAAGGUUUUCGGAUCGUAAAGCUCUGUUGUUAAGGAAGAACGAGUGUGAGAAUGGAAAGUUCAUACUGUGACGGUACUUAACCAGAAAGGGACGGCUAACUACGUGCCAGCAGCCGCGGU